GGAUAAGCUAGAAAGAGCACACGGAGGAUGCCUAGGCACCAGGAGCCGACGAAGGACGUGGCGAACAACGAUAAUGCCUCGGGGAGCCGUAAGCAGGCUUUGAUCCGGGGAUGUCCGAAUGGGGGAACCCACGUGAGGUAAUUCUCACGUACCAUGCAGUGAAUACAUAGCUGCAUUGGAGGCAGACGAGGGGAACUGAAACAUCUAAGUACCCUCAGGAAAAGAAAACAAAAGUGAUUCCGUCAGUAGCGGCGAGCGAAAGCGGAUUAGCCCAAACCAGAGGGCUUGCCCUCUGGGGUUGUAGGACGCCGAUGUGGAUGCAGCAGGUUAGGUGAACCGGUCUGGAAAGGCUGGCCAUAGUGGGUAAGAGCCCCGUAGCCGAAAGUCUGCG
rnacentral:rRNA from 1 species